GAAAUAUUUAAAGAAAUAUUUAAUAAAAUAUUCACAGCUGUGCUAAAUUUGAUCAGCAUGCCAGUGAUUCUAAUGUGCAGCCAAGGUUGAGAACCACUGUCAGCCUUCAGAGAUAUAUAAGAAUCACUUCCUGAUUUACUUUAUAUGUGAGGCAAGGAAAGCUGCCAUCACCAACAAUUAACGCACAGACUCACCAUUAUUAUAUGAAAGGCUUUCACUGAUAGUGAUUUUAAAAAUAUGUAGUCAUAAAUUUAACACAACAAUAUGACAGAAUAUAUUAACUAGAGAGUUACUAUCCAAAAAAGUCACCUGGCAUUUCUUAGCUAGAAUGGGACCAAAUCUAAUCAAACUUUUUACCCAAACUUCAUAGCAACUGUGGGCAAAGUAAUUAGGGUUCCAUAUCUCAGGAUACACUGUACUUUUAAAUAUCAUUUUACUUAACAUGAUUUCACUAGGUCAGAAGAAUUCAUAUACACUCAGUCGAAUAUGUAGUCAAAACUUAAAAGUAUCUAAAAUAUAGAAACGAGGGUUAGGGCCAGUAAAAACAAGGGGAGGCAUUUAGGUGAGUUAUAUAACGAAGCUUUAAGAAAGAGAGUCCACAACUGCAUUUGAAUUUCUUAAGACAACCAUUGAUUUAGCUUGGGUGUGGCCAUCACUCAGUUAGUUUGCCCCAUCAUUCCUUCAUGUGUAAAUGGGAAGGAUGGUCAGUAUCUACCGCAUUUAUUUGAGGCAAAGGCCUUCUUUUCUCUUCAUCUCUCCACUUGGACCCAUCUGCCUGCUAUGAGUAGAACAAUUUAAUUGAAGAAACCUUAAUGUAUUAUUAAUAUUUUACAACAGGUUAUAAGAUAAAAUUAGGGGGAAGAGAACUACGGAUAAAGGUAAAAGGGACUCUGAGCCAGGAAGCAUUUUUCUUAUUGUUGGUGGUUUAAUGUAUAUUUUAAAUAGUAAUUAUUACUAGUUAAUAUCAGCCUCUUCAAAACAUUUAGUAAAUAGUUUUUUUUGGGGGGGCAUGCAUACACUCAUUGGUGUUAUUGUAGUCUUCUUAACAUUUUUUUUUCAUUUUCCUUCUUUUUCCCCUGUAAUCCUUUACACACAGAUCCCUGUGUCUGCCCUUCCAAGGUUAAAUCCUAUGAGUCAAGUUACCCAGGAAAUUUGAAAUAUUUAUAACAUCAACCGGGUGUAACUAGGGCUUUGGAAAAAAAAUCAGGAUUUAGAUUUUGUCAAGGGAUCCUUGUCAACUUAACUACUACAUGCACGCAGUCUCUACCAAAAGGCUUUCUAUAGGCAUGGAUGCUAAUAUAAGAAAAACAUAACGCAGGUUUAUAUGGGAACAGAAUCAUCUUGGAUUCCCUUGUAGUGUUUCCAGCCUCUUUCAUCCCAUCAGGGUUUAUUUCUAGUUGCUAGGAGCAGGCAAUCUGCCUCGUUUUGAAGUUUUCUGGAACACCCUUUAACGAUAAACGAUUUACUCUAGAGUAGAUCAAGAGCCCUCGCUGUUUGUUCCCCUCUGAUUGGGCUAUUCAGCGUUGCUUGUGGAGAGGCGAACGCCAUCCGGACAGCUGCGCUUUGGCAUCAAGCAGAAACAUAAA